rnacentral:rRNA from 1 species
UCUACGGGUGGCAGCAGUGGGGAAUAUUGGACAAUGGGCGAAAGCCUGAUCCAGCCAUGCCGCGUGUGUGAAGAAGGCCUUCGGGUUGUAAAGCACUUUCAGUGGGGAAGAAAGCCUUGGGGCUAAUACCCUCGAGGAAGGACAUCACCCACAGAAGAAGCACCGGCUAACUCCGUGCCAGCAGCCGCGGUAAUACGGAGGGUGCGAGCGUUAAUCGGAAUUACUGGGCGUAAAGCGCGCGUAGGCGGUCUGAUAAGCCGGUUGUGAAAGCCCCGGGCUCAACCUGGGAACGGCAUCCGGAACUGUCAGGCUAGAGUGCAGGAGAGGAAGGUAGAAUUCCCGGUGUAGCGGUGAAAUGCGUAGAGAUCGGGAGGAAUACCAGUGGCGAAUGCGGCCUUCUGGACUGACACUGACGCUGAGGUGCGAAAGCGUGGGUAGCAAACAGGAUUAGAUACCCCGGUAGUC